CCUCACGCACCACGUGCAAUUCACCCAGUUAUCCCAUCCCGACCUCACGCUAGGGUUAGCGCGGGCGCCAUCCCCAACCCGCCCUUGGCUCCUCGGCCGCCGCUCGCCUUCCUCCGAUAGCACCUCGCCGCUGUGUUUGCCUCCUCCCGCCGCUGGUCCGCCUCCACCAUUUCAAUUCCUCCCAGCACCACGCCAGCGCGUCUCGUCCGCCCUCGAUGUGAUCGACGCCGACGAGGUUCCGUCAUCGUCUCAUCGACAUAUAUCCUGACAAGCUACGAGGUGAUAUGAACGAUCCCAUCAGGUCGAAGAGCAAGAGGAAUGAUUCCAUCAGGCUGAACGGCAAGCAGCAUCCAUACCUGACGCACACAGCAUCGUGCCUGUCGAGCUGUACUGUUGCUUCAACUCGGAUGCAGCAGUACUACGUACUAUCCUCUUUCUGAUCAGGAUGCUCCCAUCCGAUGGGCGCUGGGGCCGCCCUACUGAACAUCGUUGUUGUAGGACAAAAUCCCAACGCCCCUGGAUCAUUCAUGGCGUGUAGACAUUGCCGACUCACGACUGGAUAUUAGCACGGCGCCCGGAGAAUGCUCGCUUGUGACUUGUGGCUGGACAUGAUAGGCACCUGGACGAUGAUGUUGCCUCACACCUGAGCAGCUUAACUAAACGAACAAAUCACGGAGCACCGAGGCAAAACAUUUGGUUCUUCAGGCCUAUGACUACUAAGUACUAAUAAGGAACACUUACUUCAGAAAUUAAUCGGAUGCUCUAAUGAGAAGUUUCUCGACCGACCAAUCGUGAUUCAUGGGAAUUGACAUUUACUCUGUACUGAAGUACACAAAUUGUAUUUGACACAAUUGAGCUCAUGGUACUAAAAUUUUACGCCCCGUUGUAUACGCCAAGGUACCCUGCAAGGGCACACGAUUUGAUGCACCACAUCUGUUGAGCAAUCCCGGUGUGUUACAGACAGUGUUAUAACUUUGCCUUUGAUGAUUUAUUGCUAUGCUUUCCUUUUUUUGGAUAAAAGGCGCGAGCCCGACUUUAUAGAUGAAGCCACCAGGCAGAGUCACAACCACAGAAUAAACCACUCAGUUUAACAUAGCACGAAUAGAAAGUAUGGGUACAAGGCAUCCAGCCUGUCAAGGCACGCAGGCCAGCCAAACGAUCAACCAAAGACACUAAGAAACCGUCCUCCUGGACUGCCGCAGUAGAGAAGAAGCCGUAGAUUUCAUUUUGGAUAGCAUAUCGUCGAAAGCCUCAAUGUCCCCAUCCUUAGUCAAUGAUCUCCACUGCUGCAAAAAAACAUUAGCUUUAAAUAAGCAACUCACAGGGUUAGCCGGGAAAAUGUGUUCAAUAGUGAACUUGUUUCUAGUAGUCCAAAGCGCCCAACAGACCGCUGCCCAGCCCACCAUGAAAACCCGUUUAGACCGGCCUGCUAGAGUAUUGAUACAUCGCCGAAGAUCCUCAAAAUAGGCAGGGUUCCAGGGAACAUGAAGCCAAAGUCUAAUGCAACUCCAGAUGAAUUUUGCUAACGAGCACUGGAAAAAUAUAUGCUUUGUAUUCUCUAGGGCGCCACAUAGUUGACAACUGUCAGAACCCGGCCCGUUCCUCUUUUUAAUCUGGUCAGCCGCAGGGAGUUUGCGACGAAGAGCUUGCCAAAGGAAGAUUUUGAUCUUAGGAGGUAUGCGGGCAGACCAAACUGGUUUAAACUUGUCAGAGUGAACACCAGCGAUUAGACGCGAAUAGGCCGACUUAACAGAAAAACGCCCCGAAGGGGUGUGAGGCCAAAAAACGGAGUCCUCUUCCUCCGAGAGCAGGGGGAAGCAGGCAGUAAGGCGUUGCCAUUCUUCCAACUCCACAGGGGAAAGAGAGCACCGGAAAUCUAAAACCCACCCCUGGGCCGAGAGCUCAGAGAUAGAGAUCUCAGGGUUAUCACAAAACGAAAACAGAGUCGGAUAAGCCACCGCAAGGGUGGUGUCUGCAACCCACCAGUCUAACCAAAAACGCGUAGAAUUGCCGUUACGGACUACGAAUUUCACCAGGGACCGAAAUAUCGGUCUAAUACUAACAAGCUGGCGCCAAAAUUGAGAGCCACCAGAAGAGGAAGCGAACAUAGGACUCGAGAAGGGAAAAUAUUUAGCUUUGAGAAGGUUUAGCCAAGCAGGACGAUCAUUAAAGGGACAUAAUAAUCUUCCACCACCACUUUAACAGGAGACACUUAUUCAUGAUUCUGGUGUUAAUGAUGCCAAGCCCCCCCAUGUUCUUAGGUCUGCAAAUGAGGUCCCAUUUAACCAUCCUAUAUUUGCGCUUGUUAUCGGAGGAAUUCCAGUAAAAGGCACCCCUGUGCUUAUCGAAACCAGCGUGAGUCCCAUCUGACAGAAGAUAGAAGCCCAUUAGAAACAUCGGGAGAGAGGAAAGGCAGGAGUUGGUAAGGGCGACCAUGCCCGCCUGAGAAUUAUAGUGCCCUCGCCACGGCAAAACUCUAUUGCCAACUUUAGUAACAGCCGGUGGAAACUCUUUGGCCAAAAUCU